ensembl:lncRNA
CCGAUGUCCUGCUGGCACAAAAUAAACACACUCUGAGAGUUUCUAGCUUGACCAAACAGAUGUUUCCAUAUAAUGAUUAUUAUGGAUAUAUUAUUUCUGACUUUCACUGUCUGCUGUGUUUCCUGGAUUUCUGAGCAAAGACAAGAAAAAAGUGCAGUCUGUCCUUGUGGAGUUUCUUAGUUUGAUUCAGUGAGAAGAGUCUGGAAGAGCAGCUGAGGAGGAGCAGGAAGGAGGAGGGAGGAGCAGGAACUAGCAGUAGUUUCACUUUGUCAAAAGGAGGACUGCAGCUCACCUGUGGACUCCACCAUGAUUGUUUGACUAUAAAAAGAGAAACUGUGUCUCUGCUGCUCCGAACUAUUCACACUUGAAUGAGAACAUGAAGUGACGCUGCAGUGGAUCUUCCCUCAUCCUUAAAGUGCAGCUGUGGAUAAUCUGUUGAAGGUAUUCAUCACCACUCGUCCAGUUAAACUCUUUGUGCGUAAAUUCCACUAAGAAGCCAUCGUCCACGCCGCCUUCAUAGUAGAGAAAACCCGGGUUAACCGUGACAUCACUACUGUGGAGAAGAUGAACUUUAUCACUGCUAAGAUACUUUAGGAACUUCUCCUUGAGUUAAACACCUGCCGUCCUCAUCUGCCAUCUCUGAGUUUCUCCCGCUGACCUUAUGUUCCAGAACCCACAUAUUUCAUGUCAUCUGGUGGAGCUUUAUCAAAGAUGUGUCAGCUUCAGUGUGAAAUAUGAUGCUGUUGACUAAAUCACAAGAAACCCAAGACCCAGCCUGUUUGUUUGAGGGAUAAUUAGAUGCCAACUGAAUCAGAGUAAACUCAGCUUCUCUGGGAUCUUUACAAAAUAAGCUCAUUAUGAGACUCUGAUGUUGAAACCCACAGAAAAGAGAAGAUGGAUGCUGUGAAAAUAUCCUGCUGGACUCUGGAGUGUGUCUGCCUCCUGCUGUCUGUAACUGCAG